rnacentral:lncRNA from 1 species
CACCGCAAGGACUGGAGAAGGGGUCUUCCUCUGCCACCCAGGCUGGAGUGUGCAGCAGCAUGACCGUGGCUUACUGCAGCUUCAACCUCUCAGGAUUAGGACUUUACUGAAGACUCUAAGGAGGACCUGUAUCUGUUGGGAUCCUCAGGGCAAGCCACAGAAACAAGCUUUGGAUACUAGAAGCAGAAAAUGGAGAUAUUGAAGACUAUUGUGGAGUUUACUGUGAGCCAGAGAACCAGGCUGGGGGGCUGUAUCACUUAGAAUGAGAUCCAAACUCACACCAUAGUUCCAUCCUUGAGGUUGCCAUGUUGCUGCCACCCCUCCUGCCACCCCACCACUGAAGCUUUGGAUGCUGGAUUCUGGGCACAGCAGGGAGAAGUGUUGCUUAUUACCAUUUUAGUAUGUUUUCUUUCAAGACCUUUUCAAAAUAUACAUACGUAUUUUUAUUUCUAUUCAAAAUGGGAUACAUUUUUGAAGGUUAGCAAUAUAUUGUGAACAUUUUCUUUCCAUGCUCAGAAACAUUUUUCUAUAAUGUAAUUUAUAGUGAUAUAAACUAUCUCAUAGACCUACCAUAGUUUACCUAACAAAUCCCAAAUCAUUUGUGCCAUUUCUAAAUUUUUAUUAUUUUAUGUAAUGCUUUAAUGAACAUCCUUGCAUUUAU